GAUGAACGCUGGCGGCGUGCCUAAUACAUGCAAGUCGAGCGAACGGACGAGAAGCUUGCUUCUCUGAUGUUAGCGGCGGACGGGUGAGUAACACGUGGAUAACCUACCUAUAAGACUGGGAUAACUUCAGGAAACCGGAGCUAAUACCGGAUAAUAUUUUGAACCGCAUGGUUCAAAAGUGAAAGACGGUCUUGCUGUCACUUAUAGAUGGAUCCGCGCUGCAUUAGCUAGUUGGUAAGGUAACGGCUUACCAAGGCAACGAUGCAUAGCCGACCUGAGAGGGUGAUCGGCCACACUGGAACUGAGGCACGGUCCAGACUCCUACGGGAGGCAGCAGUAGGGAAUCUUCCGCAAUGGGCGAAAGCCUGACGGAGCAACGCCGCGUGAGUGAUGAAGGUCUUCGGAUCGUAAAACUCUGUUAUUAGGGAAGAACAUAUGUGUAAGUAACUGUGCACAUCUUGACGGUACCUAAUCAGAAAGCCACGGCUAACUACGUG
rnacentral:rRNA from 1 species